GAUAUUAUCCCCCGGGAAAAAACAUAUCAAUAAGCGGAGGAAAAGAAACCAACCGGGAUUGCCUCAGUAACGGCGAGUGAAGCGGCAAGAGCUCAAAUUUGAAAUCUGGCCCCUCCGGGGUCCGAGUUGUAAUUUGCAGAGGAUGCUUCGGGUGCGGCCCCUGUCUAAGUGCCCUGGAACGGGCCGUCAGAGAGGGUGAGAAUCCCGUCUUGGGCAGGGUGCCCGUGCCCGUGUGAAGCUCCUUCGACGAGUCGAGUUGUUUGGGAAUGCAGCUCUAAAUGGGUGGUAAAUUUCAUCUAAAGCUAAAUACCGGCCGGAGACCGAUAGCGCACAAGUAGAGUGAUCGAAAGAUGAAAAGCACUUUGAAAAGAGAGUUAAACAGCACGUGAAAUUGUUGAAAAGGGAAGCGCUUGCGACCAGACUCGGCCCUGGGGUUCAGCCAGCACUCGUGCUGGUGUACUUCCCCAGGGGCGGGCCAGCGUCGGUUUGGGCGGCCGGUCAAAGGCCCCAGGAAUGUAUCACCCUCCGGGGUUGUCUUAUAGCCUGGGGUGCAAUGCGGCCAGCCCGGACCGAGGAACGCGCUUCGGCACGGACGCUGGCGUAAUGGUCGCAAACGACCCGUCUUGAAACCACGGACCAA
rnacentral:rRNA from 1 species